rnacentral:rRNA from 1 species
GAUGAACGCUGGCGGCGUGCCUAAUACAUGCAAGUCGAGCGAACAGACGAGGAGCUUGCUCCUCUGACGUUAGCGGCGGACGGGUGAGUAACACGUGGAUAACCUACCUAUAAGACUGGGAUAACUUCGGGAAACCGGAGCUAAUACCGGAUAAUAUCUUGACCCGCAGGGUUAAUUGGUGAAAGACGGUUUUGCUGUCCCUUAUAGAUGGUUCCGCGCCGCAUUAGCUAGUUGGUAAGGUAACGGCUUACCAAGGCAACGAUGCGUAGCCGACCUGAGAGGGUGAUCGGCCACACUGGAACUGAGACACGGUCCAGACUCCUACGGGAGGCAGCAGUAGGGAAUCUUCCGCAAUGGGCGAAAGCCUGACGGAGCAACGCCGCGUGAGUGAUGAAGGUCUUCGGAUCGUAAAACUCUGUUAUUAGGGAAGAACAAAUGUGUAAGUAACUAUGCACGUCUUGACGGUACCUAAUCAGAAAGCCACGGCUAACUACGUG